AUUGAACGCUGGCGGCAGGCUUAACACAUGCAAGUCGAGCGAGCGGCGGACGGGUGAGUAAUGUCUGGGAAACUGCCUGAUGGAGGGGGAUAACUACUGGAAACUGUAGCUAAUACCGCAUACCAUCAGAUGUGCCCAUAUGGGAUUAGCUAGUAGGUGGGGUAAAGGCUCACCUAGGCGACGAUCCCUAGCUGGUCUGAGAGGAUGACCAGCCACACUGGAACUGAGACACGGCCCAGACUCCUACGGGAGGCAGCAGUGGGGAAUAUUGCACAAUGGGCGCAAGCCUGAUGCAGCCAUGCCGCGUGUGUGAAGAAGGCCUUCGGGUUGUAAAGCACUUUCAGCGAGGAGGCGUUACUCGCAGAAGAAGCACCGGCUAACUCCGUGCCAGCAGCCGCGGUAAUUC
rnacentral:rRNA from 1 species